rnacentral:rRNA from 1 species
AUUGAACGCUAGCGGGAUGCCUUACACAUGCAAGUCGAACGGAGUGGCGAACGGGUGAGUAAUGCAUCGGAACGUGCCUAGUAGCGGGGGAUAACUUCGAGAAACGGUAGCUAAUACCGCAUACUAUUGGAGCGGCCAAUGUCGGAUUGGCUAGUGGGUGGGGUAACGGCGCAACAAGGCGACGAUCCGUAGCUGGUUUGAGAGGACGACCAGCCACACUGGGACUGAGACACGGUCCCGACUCCUACGGGAGGCAGCAGUGGGGAAUUUUGGACAAUGGGGGGAAGCCUGAUCCAGCCAUGCCGCGUGUGCGAGGAAGGCCUUCGGGUUGUAAAGCACUUUAAGCAGGGAAGCGUUACCUGCAGAAUAAGCACCGGCUAACUUCGUGCCAGCCGCCGCGGUAAUAC